rnacentral:rRNA from 1 species
GUUCUCCUACGGGGGGCAGCAGUAGGGAAUUUUCGUCAAUGGGCGCAAGCCUGAACGAGCAAUGCCGCGUGAACGAGGAAGGUCUUCGGAUCGUAAAGUUCUGUUGAAGGGGAAAAAGAGCGGAGAGAGGAAAUGGUCUCCGAUUGAUAUUACCCUUCGAGGAAGUCACGGCUAACUACGUGCCAGCAGCCGCGGUAAUACAUAGGGGGCAAGCGUUAUCCGGAAUUAUUGGGUGUAAAGGGUGCGUAGACGGAAGAACAAGUUGGUUGUGAAAUCCCUCGGCUCAACUGAGGAACUGCAACCAA